rnacentral:misc_RNA from 1 species
GAUGAAGAACGUAGCGAAAUGCGAUAAGUAAUGUGAAUUGCAGAAUUCAGUGAAUCAUCGAAUCUUUGAACGCACCUUGCGCCCUUUGGCUAUUCUGAAGGGCAUGCCUGUUUGAGUAUCGUGAACACCUCAACUCUCAUGGUCUGCCAUGAUGAGCUUGGACUUUGGGGGUCUUGCUGGCCUACUGUCAGCUCCUCUCAAAUGAAUCAGCUUACCAGUGUUUGGUGGCACCACAGGUGUGAUAACUAUCUACGCUUGUGGUUUUCUGCCAGGUAACCUCCAGUGAUGGAGGUUCGCUGGAGCUCACAAAUGUCUCUCCUCAGCGAGGACAGCUUUUUGAACGUUUGAUCUCAAAUCAGGUAGGACUACCCGCUGAACUUAAGCAUAUCAUAAGCGGAGGA